UGUGGCUCAGUGGUAGAGCACUUGCCUAGAAUACGUGAGGCACUGGGUUCGAUUCUCAGCA
rnacentral:tRNA from 1 species